GAUCCCCUACGGGGGGCAGCAGUGGGGAAUAUUGCACAAUGGGGGGAACCCUGAUGCAGCGACGCCGCGUGAGUGAAGAAGUAUUUCGGUAUGUAAAGCUCUAUCAGCAGGGAAGAAAUAAAGUCCUUCGGACUUUGGACGGUACCUGACUAAGAAGCCCCGGCUAACUACGUGCCAGCAGCCGCGGUAAUACGUAGGGGGCAAGCGUUAUCCGGAUUUACUGGGUGUAAAGGGAGCGUAGACGGCGCGGCAAGUCUGAAGUGAAAGGCAGGGGCUUAACCCCUGACCUGCUUUGGAAACUGCCA
rnacentral:rRNA from 1 species